rnacentral:rRNA from 1 species
UUUUUUAAAAAUUAAAUAUAAAAGAAUAAAUUAUUUAUAAGUUUUUUUAAAAAAUAUUAAAGAAAGAAUAAAAUUUUUAUUAAACUGAAAAGGUACUUUGAAAAAUUUAAUAAAUUAAAAUUAAAAUAGUUAUUACAUGUGUACCUUUUGCAUAAGGGUUUUUUAAAAAAAAUUAAAUAUUUAUAUUUCCCGAAAUUAUUUUGAUCUAUUUUUAUAAAAAUUUAAUUUGUUUUAAAAAGUUAAGUAAUAUAAAAAUAGAAAUGAAAUUUUUUUCAAAAAUAAGGAUAUCUGGUUAUUAUAAGAAGACUUUAUGUCUAUUUAUAAAAAAACUUUUAUAUAAAAAAAGUUAUAAAUAAAUUAAAUAGGGAUAAGCUUUUUUAAUAAAUUAUAUUAAUUUGAUUUUUAUUUAAAUAAAGGAAUAAAAUUUUCUUUGUUUUGUUAUAAAAAAUUACUAAGUAAAAAAUAAAAGUUAAUUGUAUUUAAUAAUUAAUUUAAUUAUAAAUUUAUAUAAAAAUAAAAAAAUUAGUAUAAGUGUCAAAUCGUUUUUUUUAUUAAAUUUUAUUUAUUAUUUAAAAUUAUUAAUUAGGAAUUCGGCAAAUUAUUAAGUUGACUGUUUAUCAAAAACAUUUCAUUUUGAAAAAAUAAAAUGUAUUAUCUGCUCAAUGAAAUUAUUAAAUUGCUGUGGUAUUUUGACUAUACGAAGGUAUUGAAACAAGGUUUUAAAUGAGCGCUAAAAGAAUGGUAGAACAAUUUAAUUCUGUCUUUUUAAUAAAAAUAGAAGUUAACUUUUUAUGUGCAGAGGCAAAAAUAAAAUUAAGGGACAAGAAGACCCUAUGAAUUUUAUUUUUUUUAAUUAACAAAAUUUUGUUAAUUAAAAAAAAUUAAUUGGGGCGAUUAAAAAAGAAUAAAAAUCUUUUUGUUAAUUAUUUAAAAGUUUGAUCCAAUAAUAUUGAUUAAAUGAGUAAAAUACUCUAGGGAUAACAGCGUUAUAAUUUUGAAUAGCUCAUAUUGAUAAAAUUAAUUGCGACCUCGAUGUUGGAUUAGGAUUCUUAUUUAAUGAAGAAGUUAAAUUAAGAAGUUUGUUCAACUUUUAAAUUCCUACAUGAUCUGAGUUCAGACCGGCGUAAGCCAGGUUGGUUUCUAUCUUUAUUUAAAUGUUUUUUUUAAUUAGUACGAAAGGAAUAUUAAAAAAUAAUUAUUUGUUAUAAAAAA